ACGAACGCUGGCGGCGUGCUAACACAUGCAAGUCGAGCGAUGAAGUUCCUUCGGGAAAUGGAUUAGCGGCGGACGGGUGAGUAACACGUGGGUAACCUGCCUCAUAGAGGGGAAUAGCCUUUCGAAAGGAAGAUUAAUACCGCAUAAGAUUGUAAUGUCGCAUGACAUAGCAAUUAAAGGAGUAAUCCGCUAUGAGAUGGACCCGCGUCGCAUUAGCUAGUUGGUGAGGUAACGGCUCACCAAGGCGACGAUGCGUAGCCGACCUGAGAGGGUGAUCGGCCACAUUGGGACUGAGACACGGCCCAGACUCUUACGGGAGGCAGCAGUGGGGAAUAUUGCACAAUGGGGGAAACCCUGAUGCAAGCAACGCCGCGUGAGUGAUGAAGGUCUUCGGAUUGUAAAGCUCUGUCUUUAGGGACGAUAAUGACGGUACCUAAGGAGGAAGCCACGGCUAACUACGUGCCAGCAGCAGC
rnacentral:rRNA from 1 species